UUUAAUUCGAUACAACACGCAAAACCUUACCAGCCCUUGACAUAUGAACAACAAAACCUGUCCUUCACAGGAUGGUACUGACUUUCAUACAGGUGCUGCAUGGCUGUCGUCAGCUCGUUUCGUGAGAUGUUUGGUCAAGUCCUAUAAUGAGCGAACAUUGUUUGCAUCAUCAACCAUCAUCUACAAAUGCCCAUCAA
rnacentral:ncRNA from 1 species